rnacentral:rRNA from 1 species
GACGAACGCUGGCGGCGUGCCUAAUACAUGCAAGUUGAGCGAUGAAGAUUGGUGCUUGCACCAAUUUGAAGAGCAGCGAACGGGUGAGUAACGCGUGGGGAAUCUGCCUUUGAGCGGGGGACAACAUUUGGAAACGAAUGCUAAUACCGCAUAACAACUUUAAACAUAAGUUUUAAGUUUGAAAGAUGCAAUUGCAUCACUCAAAGAUGAUCCCGCGUUGUAUUAGCUAGUUGGUGAGGUAAAGGCUCACCAAGGCGAUGAUACAUAGCCGACCUGAGAGGGUGAUCGGCCACAUUGGGACUGAGACACGGCCCAAACUCCUACGGGAGGCAGCAGUAGGGAAUCUUCGGCAAUGGAAGAAAGGCUGACCGAGCAACGCCGCGUGAGUGAAGAAGGGUUUCGGAUCGUAAAACUCGGUUGGUAGAGAAGAACGUUGGUGAGAGUGGAAAGCUCAUCAAGUGACGGUAACUACCCAGAAAGGGACGGCUAACUACGUG